UCUUGGAGGUUCAUAGUUAUGCAGUAAGUUGAGGCAUCAUUAUGUGUCUGCUGUACAAAGUACACAAGACAUAUAUUAUUAUUCACCAUGCUUCUUCUUCUUUAGUCCUAAUGAAUGAUCUGUAUAUGUUUCAGAAGAUGUCCACAUUAGUAAGCACAGAGCUGUGUGUCAGUCUGUCAGCCAGUCAG